UCGAAGGAACUGGUCGAUUUCGUCCCUUUGGUGUUUUAUUUGGGCGGUGAAAUCUUCUGAUAAUAGAGAUAAUACAGCUGAUUGUUGUUGUUGAUUUUGCUGCUGCUGUUGUUGUUGUUGGGGGUGUUGAAGGUGUUGUUCUCCAAAGGCUAAGCGGAGGCCGGUGGACACCACAUUUGGCUGGUGAUUGUGGAGGACGGAGAGGUCUAUCAGCUGAGAAGGCUGAGGCUGAAGCGGAAAUGAAUUCACCGUAGGCGCAACUACACCGCCAGUAUUGGUGUUGCCAAACACUUCUCUUCCUCUUUUCCGGCUAUUGGCCACCACUGCCAAUCACAACCCAUAUCUUAAUUCAUUCGUUUCCAUUCCAAAAUAAAAUUUAACAAAAAGAACGAGAAAAAAAGCUCACCUCCAUUGUUAAACAACAUAUGGGAUUGGUCCAGAAACCCACCCGGCUGCGGUUGUAAAGAGCAAUCAAUCUUCCCGUCUUGCACGCCUCUGUAAACAUCACCACCACCAUCACCAACCCGUUAAAAAAAAUAGAACAUUGAAAGACGAAGGUAGAGCCAAAAAGCCAUAAAUGCACCGAAGUGAAACCAACCUGUUGAGAAGAAGAACAUUGGAUGGGUACUGAGCUUGAACGGCCAUAAAAGGAUAACAAGAAAGAAAUAUGGGGAUUGAAGAGAAGAUAAAGGGAGAGGAGAAAAAGGGUAUGGAGCAAUGUGGGAGCGGAGGGGAGUAAUUAACAGGGGCACAUAACAAGCAUGAAAGGAGAGAAGAAGACGGACUCUUCAACGAGAGAAAGAAAUCAAAGAAAAAAUAGAGACAGAUGUAUAGAUAGAGAGAGGGGGAGGAAGAGGGGGAGUUUUCUAGAGAGAGAGAGAGACAGAGAGAGUAGUAAAUGAAUUAUGUCUGUUGAGAGGCCACCAUGACCCUUCUCAUCUCUCCACUUUGUUUUCACCUACUUUAUUUGUUUUGCUUCUCUCCUUAAUUUGGGUUUGCCUUGUUUCCCAUGCCUUGCUUUGUAGUGUGUUUUCUUUAGAGAGGAAGAGAGAGAACAGAUGCGAUUGAAACGAAUCAGUCCAAGAGAGACACCCCCUCCCCCUCCCUUUUAUAUAUAUAUAUAUUCUCUCUCCUCUUUUGCUUUCUCGCCCUGUUGACGAGGGAGUUUUGGGGUUAUUUUAAACAUGGCAUUUAAAUUCAAUCCAUUAAUUAAUUAAAUUAUUUACCAAAUAAAUCAAAUUAUUAAUUAUUUAAAACUAAUAAAAGAAAAAAAAAAGAGAGAAAAAUUGAAUAAUAGUGGGUGGAGGAGGUGGGGAUGAUGUAGUAGAAGUUGUUGUUGAGGGAGUGCAGGUCUCCCUGCCGCUACCGCUGCCGCUGGAAUUGUUUGUACAUGGCCCAUGCGUCUCUCGCCAGCUCUCUCCCCCCCUCCCUCUCUCUCUCUCUCUCUCUCUCUCUCUUUUUCAUAUACCCCCUUAUUUAAUUUUCCUUUUUUAGAUAUUUAAGUAAGAAAAAACACCCAGACAAAUUAGGAGCUAAGUCUUGGGUGGAAAAACAAUUAUGAUUCUAUUAAAAUGAUGGUUGAAAAAGGAGAAAAGUGGGGUCUUAAUUACCCAUUGGAAUGCCUUUUUCAAUUUUUUUUUGGGGUUUAGUUGGUCACAUUAAUUGUGUGAGGGUUAAAUCAAAGACCCAUAGAUUGAAUUAUUUAUACAGUUGGGAUUAUGCAAAUCUUCUUCCACACAAAUUCAAUUUAGCUUUAAAUAUGGGGAGGGCAUUUAGUUUCAAAAAUAUUUUUUUAGUAAAAUUCAAAAAAAAAAAAAGGAAAAAGAGAGAAAUAAACUUGGGAUUGAAGAUUCAAAGUGUGAAGAGCAAUGUUUGGUUGGGUAGAGAAUUCCUUAUCUUAGAAAAUAAAGAAUAGACAGAGAGAAGGGAUUAUCAGAACACCUCCGACCUAAUUGCAUGGUUGUUGGUUGAUUUCUCUUUUCCUUCUCACAACCCACAAGCCCCCCCGCCCCCCACCUCCUUUUGUAAGUAGUUUGAUCAAAACGCCUUCCCUCACCUCAUGACCAUGUCAAUUGACAUUUGUAGCACCCUUUAUUUGAGGACCCCUAUUUCAAGAUUCAAGACAUUUUCAAAUUUUGAACCGUUUUAGUUACAUCUCCCUUCUCUGUCUUUUUUCUUCUUUUCUUCUCCUUUUGAGUUACCCCAUUUCACCUUCAUUCCAACCUCAUACUCCCUCUCCUCUGUUUUGUGGUUGGGAGUCUUCACUUCUUUCGUCCCCUCAUUAGCCCUUCCCUUUUUUCUUAAAUCCAAAUCAUGGGUUGGAAUUCAAAUACAUGAUAAAUUAAACCUAUGGAUAUUCUCUAUGGGUGGAUAAUAAUUAGUCUUGAUCAUGCAAUUACAUAAGACUAUUUAUAUACUAAUUAAUGCACAAGCAGAGAAAUAAUAUAUGAAGCAAUGAAACUUAAUAUGAAAGCAUUUGGGGUUACUUUGAUGGCUAAAAUUAAUAAGUCAAAUCCCAUAACCAAGAUUAUUGUAUUGAUGAGAUCAACUGAGCUUGGAUACAGCCCACCUCUCAAUACACAUUAUUAGGUUGGUUGAUGACAUUGAGAUUGACGCCAUCACCAAAAUUCAAUUCACAAGGAUUAAAGAAAUCUAAUGAAAAAUAGAGAAAAAAAAAGAGGAAAAAAAAUAAAAAAGGAGUGGAUGUCACAAGAAAAAGUUAAGUUUGGUAAUGGUAAUCCUCCCCAAGACCAAGAAGGAUUUUGAACUUUAAUUAAUGGGGGUGACAAAGAAAGAGAGAAGGAAAUGUGAAAGAGAGUUCUUGGAAUGGCAUCACGCAAUUUGUCUUUGCUCAGGACCCACCAAAGCCAAAGGGUCGGCUUCUUCUUCUUUAUCAAAUCUCUCUCUCUCUCUCUCUCUCUCUCUCUCUCUCUCUCAAUUAGCAUUUCUACUCCCUCACGGCAAUCUCCCCUCUCCCCACCCAACUCACUGCUCCAUUGUUUUCUUCUCCCUUUCAUUUCUCUCCCUUCUUUUCUUUUCUUCUUUUUUUUAUUUAUAUAGUGGCUUUGUAUGUAGAUAGUUAAAAGGGAACCACCUUUGUCUCUUUUACUUGGUUUGCUAAUCCAUCAACAAAGACCUGGACCCUCAUUAUCUUUUACUUUUCCUCCUGUAUAUUUUAAUGAUAUUUCAAUAUUUGAAAUAUCAUUAUACAAGUAUGUUCAUGAGUAUAGAACAUAUGAACAUUGAUUUAACCGAUACCAAAUGAGAAUCAAAUGGUUUAAGCUAGUGAGAAUGCUUUAAUUUAAUUUACAGCUCAAGUUUUAGAAGAUUGAGCUGUUAUUUUAGAUGUAUUUUGAUUCUUCUUUUGGUUUUGUCUCCUUGAAACUAUGUAAGGAACUUAUGCUUGGGGCAAUGGGAACUUAGGGGAAGCCUUUGAAAUUUUUAAUUUUUUAUAAUUGUUUAUUACCAUGCAUUUAAAUGGGUUUGUCGAGUUCUAGAUUUAGUGUACUUGAUGAUAUUUAUUUGUAUUUUUUUUCAAAAUUUUGAAUUUCGAUACCUCUCGAUAGAAGUUUUUUAAAAUUCAUAAUUAAAAGAAUCACUACUUUAACCUCUAAAUCUAUUAAAAUGUGUUUUUAAAUUAAAAUUUUCAUGAUUUCAAUAAUAAUAAUUAUAGUUUUGAAGCAAGCAACCUAGUAUCUCAAAAUUUGGGUUAUGAAACCACCCCAACCCAAAAAAAGAAGACCCACUAACUCAUCUUAGUUCUCAAUUCUCCAAAAUCGAUUAAUCAAAGUAAAUUAAUUUUUCUUUAAUUUGAAACAAUAUAUGGUAAGACUAUUUAUUGAGAUGUAAUGUGAGUCAUCAUUUCCUAGAAGUGUGCAUUUGGUUGGGGUUGAAAAUACACCCACUUUACUUGAGACAUUUCUUUAAUCCCAAUCCAACCAUUCCCCAUCCAUUUCCUUGACCCACACACUCCCAAAACCCCCUUUUCAUUUUCUUGGGUUUUCCUUCCCUUUCCUUUUCUUUCUUUUCUUGUCUUUCUUUUCUUUUCUUUACACUCAAUUUUGCCUCUCGCCCUUUGUUUUCUUCUUCAAACAUGGCACCAUCCUCAUUUCUCACCUCCACCGCUCCCCUACAUUCCACCCACUAUGCAUUCCUUUCCUCACACCAAAACCACUCCCAACCUUCCCCAAUCACCUCCCACAAUUGCUCCAACCAUCCAUCAUCUCUUUUUUCCCCCUCUUACCCCCUUUUUAAUAUCCAUUUCAAAAAAACCCUUUUACUAUUUUUUUAAUUUUUAUUUAAAAUUUAUGCUAAUUAGUAUUUUGGAAAAAUUAGCAUUCCUUGCAAAAAGUAGUCUAACAAGAGGCACCAAGAGCAUGGAUUUGGUGAAGAUGCUACUAAGUAAUAUAAUGUGAAAUAUAAUAUAUAAUAUGCUAUCUUAUCUUAUCUUUCAUGGAGGUGAUAGGGGUUAACAAACAAAGCAACAGGGGCAACUAGUGAUGAUCUACAUUUUUUAACUUAUGACAACAUAAUCAACAAUCACCUAAAACAAUAUUAAGAAUCCUUCAAACUUUCAUCUUUAUCAAUUCAUUUGUAUUAGCUGAAUAAUCACAUCAUUCCAUUCAUUGGCCUUUUUCGUCUUUUAUAUUAUCAUUACUUUUUAUUUUAGGGUGAGAAAAACAAAAGGAAUGACAUAAGGAGUACUAGCAAACAUGAUUAAAUUCAACACAGAUGGAAUUAAGAUUACUAAUAUUCACAUGGGCAGUAUAAUAGCCUUUAUUAUAGUGCUUAUAACACUUAAUACCCUUCUUCCCUACUUGAUCAUUUUAAAAUAUAUAUUUUUACUAUUUCGUUUGAAAUUAAUACAAAAGUCAUUCCAGUUGUGAUUAAAACACAUUAAUAAAAAUAAUUUUGAUUUUUUAUUCUUAAUGGACUUGUUGUUAAGCUUUCACUUCACACAAUUCUAUUGUGGGAAAGCUUUAUGUAAUAGCGAUAAGAGUUUCUAUUGCUUAAAGAGUUCAAUCCUCUUUUCUAAUGAAACUAAUAUAAACAAAUGAUUUAUUAUUAUUAUUUUAUUUAAUUAUCUUUAGAGAAAAAAAUGUGUUUUGAUACACAUGUUUGAAAAUAAACAUAAAAUAAAGACCCAAAUUUGUAAAAUUCAAAAUUAAUAUAUUUAAUUAAAAAUAAUUAAAGAUUUGAUCAUUAAGGUAUGAUCGGUACAUGUAUAUUAUAUCGAUCACUGAGUAUGGUAUAAUAAGAUUAUUGAAACUUUAAACUCAUUCAACCUAAAAUUAGUUGUAUAAGCAAUUUGAAUAUGCAAUAAUUGAGAAAAAAAAACCAAAUGUGCUUUGUACUAAUAAAUUGGCAAGUUAGUGCAGAAAUUUAUUUUAAUUUUUAGGAGAACUCUUGAAUGAUCAUCCAUGCGUGUACAUACAUAUAGGGUCUUUGAGAAGCAUUGGGGAACGGUAAAAGUGUGAAAAACAAAGGAAAGAGAGGAAGGUAGGUGGAGAUUCUUAUUUAUGAAAAAUGUCAGUUGAAGGCUGAAGGAAGGUGGGCAGUGGUGUUAUAAUUUAUGAGGCAUUGCAAGUACUUUGGCAUCUCUUCUUCUGAUGACGAUGAUGAUAAUGGCAGUGCCACGAAGUUAGAAAAAAAAGAAAAAGAAAAAGAAAGAAAGAGGUAUUGGAGAAGCAACAUGAGAGUGUGGGUGGUGGUGGGUCUUGUAUUUUGCUGCAAAGAAUCAAAGCUCACUGCAACCCCAACCCCCACCCUUAUUCCUUGUGGGCACACCCCUUUGGAGCCAUCUUCAGGGCCCAUUUUUUGGUUUCGCUUUUAUAUCAUUUUCCCCCUUUUGUGAAAUUUGGUAUCUGUCUAUUGUCUAACUCCUAAUUCUUUCCUUCAUCAUCCUCCUUUCUCUAAAUUAAGUUUAGUUUCCCUUCAAACUUUGAACCAUCUACCCAAAUCAUUUCUAUACUAGCUCUCAAAAGAGGUUUUCACAGAAGCUGAAAAAGAGGAAACACAAGAAAGAAAAAUUGAAAGGUGGAGGGGUUAAGAAGAAAAAAAAAAAGACAAUAAAUACAAGAAAGAGUGGUCCCCUAAUCAAAGGGAGUAUAGCAGAGGUAUGAUAGUCAUAAAUUGAGAGUGCUACACCAAUCACAUCAGCAUAACUGUAUACAAGAUUUGAGUAUGUGUCACCACUCACCUCUCUUUCCAUUUAUCAUGAUUCCAUAUACGUAUAAGCCUACUGAUAUGGGCACUUCCCAUUUCCCUCAAAUGGGGCAUCCCUUGUUGUUUAAGCCUUCUGUUUUUCACCCACUUUGACCAACAAUCCCCCUUCCCUUCCACCACAAAAAAUAAAAAAAAUAUUUUGUUCAUUUAUCUUUGCAUUAACAUCAAGCAGUGGGCUCCUUUUGUCUUCUCCAUUUUCCCCAUCAUGCCAUAGUAUUAGAUCUGUAAUGGGUUGGUCUAUUUUUGGGAAUUGGGAUUUCAUUUUUAAUGUCACUAUUCUCAAGAAUUGGUCUCAUGAAUGAAAAAGUAGAAAGUAGAUGGAUUUGUGUUGGUCUUACAUACGCUCUAGAUUCCAUCCAAACAAGGACUAAAAGCUCAUCUAGUUAUUGGAAAAACAUAAAAGUAGAUUGCAUAUUAACUUGGUUGACCCUUGGGCUAUUAGAAUAAGACCUAGACCAAUGUGAUUUUCAUUUUCAAACUUGUGAAAACUUACCACACAAUAAUUCCCACAUCUUUAAUUCAUUCCAACUUGUCAUGAUUGAUUUUAAUUACCCCUUUGUAUAGUUUAAUUUAUACUCUCUGUAUUUUGUGAAUAAAAAUUAUGCCAUCAUGUUGAAAGACUUUGUCAUCUUAACAGGAAAAUAUAAUUAUGGAAGCCUUUUAGUGUUGUUGCAUAAUUUGAUGCAUUUUGGUAUUGUUAAGAAUUUUAAAAAUGGCACCAAUAUUUAGAAAAAAAAUUUGAAAAGCUUAAAUAAUCCGAACCCUUAAAUUGAUAAAAAAUUUAUUAUUUAUAUCUUAUGUGAGGUUUGCCUUUUUCAUUUAAUUCUAAUAUUAAGAUAUUUAUUUUUAUAAUAUUUUAUUUCUAUUAAUCAUUUAAUCGAAAAUUUAUAAUAGAAAAAUUAGAAAAAACAAACAAUGUAAAGUUUGAAAACAAAUUGCUUUUAACAAAAAAUCAAAAAAAAAAAAAACAUUUAAAGGAGUUCUUUUACUAUUUUAAAAUAAAAUAAUAUGAAUAUAAAGAAAUAUUGUUUAAAUAAAAAAAUAAUAUAAAUGUGCUAGUUUCAACAAUUUUAAGGCUUGCACGUAUCAAAUUAUAAUCACAAUUCAUAUUAUGAAUAAAUAAGGUCGAUCAGUAUCGUAUUAAAUUAAGAUUAACAUGAAACAAAGAUCAACAUAGAUCAUCUACUUUAAAUACCAUUUUUAUAUAUUUGAUAGCUUUGUCAUGAAUAAACUUUGAUUGAAUUGUAGGUCCAACAUAAACAAAGUAUACAUAUCAAAAAAAUUUUGUUAUCUAAUUUUGAAUGGCUCUCAAUGAGCAAACAAGAAUAUAUGUUUAGGGAGAUACGUAUAAAGAAAGCGAUUUGAGCUUAUAUAAUGGAAGAGAUGAUGAGGAACCAAGAGGAUGAUGCGAAGGCAGCCCAUAUGAUAAGGUUUGUGGAUGCGUGGAGCCAUGAGCCACGAGCCACGACCCAAGAGAGGCAUGUCCACACUUAUAAGCCAAAAAAAUUGGCCAAUUCAACGGGGAAGGUGGACACAGAGAUUGUCUAUAUGAAAAUUUCAUGAUCAUGGGGACCAUGAGGUGAGGCCAAAAGGAUUAAAAUGGGGGAAUCAAGGCAUAGUGAUGGGGUUGGCAUUUGCUUGGAAUCACUGCUUAUUGGCACUAUAUAAUUGACUUUGGAUGCAAACAAGAGAAGCUUCUCUUCUCUUUCAACGGUGCCAAAGGAAUAUAAUUAUUUCAAAUGGCCUAUGGCUUCUUCCUCUUCUCCCUUGGUUUUUCCCUUCUCUUUUUUCAAAUGGAGGGGGAGGGGGGAGGAGUCAUUGAUUUUAGCACCUCCUCUUUCGGCAGAGAAGAUAUUCUGUAUUUUAAAAUGACCAUACUGCCCCCUCUAGAACUAUGGCUUUGGGUCAAUCAAAGAAGGGUAAUUUUGGAAACGGAUGCCCUAAUUCUAUUGAGAUCGGAGGUGCUCUUGUCAAUGGUUAUGAUGGCGUUUUAAUAGGAGAAUUACCAUAAAAGUGGUAGCUACCUAAAGCAAAACCCCACUAAAUGCUUUGAAAAUUUGGUAUUCAAAUUAUUCCAAUAAGCAAGCCUGACCACCUCUGACCUCACCAAUUUGUGGUCGUUUUUUUGGGUUGGGGGUGGUAGAUCACCAUUUUAUAUAUAAUUGUAAACAUCCAUGGAGAAAAUUCAAAACAUGCACACUCAGAAAAUUUCAAACCACCAAAAUGGUCAACCUUGUGUAAAAUUAUUGGUUCCCACAUUUGUGAUCAUUCUCAAUCUUACCUUCAUUUGCUCCACUACAUUUAUUCCUACAUACAUAUGGUAAAGUGGUACCAAAAAAUCAACCCUUCUCAUUAGCCACAUAAAACCUUUGUGUUUUAACCCUUCUCCACCCAACCCUUGUGAUGAAUUCAACCAUGAAAGCUCCAAGGAAACUUCUUCAUUUUUUUUUUUUAAUUUUUAAAUUUGGAAAAUACAAAGUGGGUAGAGUAGAGACAUAGAGGACUGUGGAGAUAACAAAGUGAAAUGGCAUGAUUCUGGCUUUGCCUCCCACCCCACACCAAGUUGGUGAGAAUGUGAUUGAAGGUGUGGGGGGAAAUGGAUGAUUUGAUUCCGAGAAUGCCCUAUAACUUCGACAACACAGCAACCUCCUCAAUAAUAAUAGCCACAACAACAACAACCAGAAGGGAUGUGUGAAAAUGCGUGAAUAUUUUUGUGAUAUUAUUUUCUGGGAAAACGAGACGCAUUAAUAACAUUCACGCGUCAGACAUGCACACAAGCACAUACAAUUACAAAAGAGAGAGAACCUCUCUACCUCUCUCUAUCAUCACUGAUUCUCACAGCCUUUUUUCUUGUUAGAAUCCAACAAAGCUUGCAAACAAACAACACUCCCACCAUCCUCCUGCUAUAAGAAAUCAAAUAUUGGCAUCUUUUUUCUUUUCUUCUUUCUGGGGACAUGGUGGCUAUAAAGUGAAAAUCCCCCAAGAAAAAGCUCUAUCCUUCACCCCCAUAUCUUCAUUUUUUUGUUUUUGUUUCGUUUAUUUGAUUCUUCUUGGGUCUUUUUCUUUUCUAUAUCUUUUCUCUGUGUUGUGGAAUAGGCCCUUUUUUCAUGGGUUUUGGCUUCAUUUGUAGGGUUUGUAUUCAAAUUGCCCCGUCACUUUCAUGGAGGUAAGAGUAAGGCGUUUGGUUCAGGUCAUUUUCUGGGGGAAAAAAAAACUUUUCUUUUUCUUUUUUCUCGGCAUAGGGGUGAUGAAAAUCAUGACAUUAAAACAGGUAGAUUGCACACAGCUUGUGCAAUGUGGGGUUGCACUUUGAAUUUGAAAACUCCUUUUAAUAUACAGGAAAUUUCAUCAAUUAUCAUACAAAUAAAUAAUAAAUAAAAAAGAAAAGUAUUGCCCAACACAACUUCUAUGUAGUUUGGGAAAAAGGAGUUUCAACGACAUUAUGGUUAUCAUCUGCCAUUUCUUUUUCAAUGCUGAUCCACCCAAAUUUGACUCAUCAUGCCCACUCAUUUUUUAUUUUUUUAUUUAAUUUCUGGUUUGUUUUUUGGUCACCAAAUGGAAUUGAAUCCAAGAAAUGGGUGAAACCCAUCUCCCAAGGAAACAUCUAAACUCAGUGAAUCGCUUGGGAACAUUCUGAGCUCGCUCAGCUUGGUGCAUAUUAAAGAACCCUGAGUUUCAUUAAUUGGGUCAGCUGUUUAUGUGGCUGUCUCUUCACUCUCUCCAUAAGUUUCAAAAACCCUAGACUUUUCAUUGUAUAAAAUACUGUUCCCCAUAUAUUUUGUCAAGAAUCAAAGCAAAAACCUGGAUGGAAAGAUUGAUGAAUCUUGUGUUUGAAAAGGCAGGGGAGUCAAAGAUGUAGAGCAGUUGCCACCUUUAACAGCCUUUAAACAUUGAUUUGGUGAGCAGUAUGGCGCAUGGAGUAGCAGUGGCAAGGACAUAUCUGUGUCCCAUCUUUCUUGUUUAGCAUCAAAUAAUUCAACAGCACUACUGUUUGGAACAGUGGAUUCAUUAGACUUUCCUUUCAGAUUUUCUCUUAGGCAAACCUAUAUUGGAAGAAAAUUACUAUGUUAGAAUCCUCAAAGCUAUAAGGUAUCACAAAGCAUGGAAGAUGCUGGAAGAGAAAGUGGGAGACCAUAUUCCACCGUAGUGGGAAUUUCCUAGUGGAUCCACACCCAAUUACUCCUCUCCAUGCAAACAGAUGGAAUAAAAAACACUUUUAAUUACUGUAAGUGAAAUACUCAUUCAAUUUUACCUUUUCUUGAAAAAAAAAAAAAAAAACCCGAUAUGAAAUGAAAAUGAAUAUAUCAAUUUUGCCAUCAUGGGCCUCAUAGAAUGGAGAAAGUUCAAAUAUUAAAAGAGAGGAAAGACUUUAGAGUUUCUUAAAGUCUGUUUUAUUGGGGGUUGGGGACUAGCUUGGAAGAUAGCCAAAGGAGAGGAGAUGAGAUGAGAUGAGAUAGAGGUGAUGAGAGGGAGAGUAGGGGGUGGGGAAUGGGAGAUGGUUGGGUCAAUUCAUUCAAACACAUAUGGCCUCCCUCAACCAACAUUAUUAACAAAGUCUUUGCUUAGUACAACCCCCAACCCCCUUCCUCCUCCUCCUCCUCCUCUCUUCACUCUCAAAGCAUAUGGUGUCAGUAUUUUUUUUUCCCUUUCCUUUGCCUCCACGUUGCCUUGUUUCCCUCUCUUUGAGAAGAGUCUUCAUCUCUCUUUCUUUGCUAUCAUUCAUGCCUCUCCAGUCUUCUUUGGCACAUAUCCCCAUUUCAAAUCACUUCUCUCUCCUCCCACCUACCUUAGUAAAAAAUAUCCAGACACCAUAAAAAUAAAAAAAAAUAAAAAAAACAACGAUGGGAAGGAUGCAGAUGGCAGGCUUAGCUUUAUUAUAAUCUUUUCCAAUCUUCCUACUUCAGGGGUAUUUAUUAAAUGGGUUCUCAUGUUUCAUCUUUCUUUGGUUUUCCAAUCCAAUUCUUUUGAAUCUUUUCCAACUUCCCAUCACAUGCUUCCCUUCCUUUCUCCGCCCUUGUGUUUUCAAUCUCUCUCUCUCUCUCUCUCUCUUAUCCCCUUUUAAAUUUUCCUUAAGUUUGUUUCUGCAACCAUAAUCAUUAUCAUUAACCAAGUUAUGAAACUUUUUUGACCCUUUCAAAGUAAAAUUCAUCAUCAUCGAUAAGCAAACCUUACUAUACACAAAGUAAGAAAAUACACCACCCACCCAAUAAACCAAGGACCCGGCCCAUUGCCUAUCAGUACUAGGGUUUGGACCUCAAGCACUGGGUCCACAAAAUUAAGACUUGUCUUGUCAAACUCAUGUGCUUCCAUGUAUCAUUUUUCAUAAUUUGAUCCUAAUAAUCAACUUCUAAUUAAAAUCUCUGGUAUUCAAAAGAAUCAAAAUGAAUGAGUCUAGGUCCACUGAUGAGACCCUAUGUGGAGGAAAUUAUAUGAUGUAGAGGUAGAAUAUAUAAAGUUUGAUCCACAACCCCAUAUAUGAUAUAUAUAUUUAUAUUAAAAUCGAGCCUUAAUUGUCUUCUUAGCAUGAUGGCCACAAUGCUUGCCAAAUGUACAUGCAUAUAUGUCGCAUAUCUUAUAGAAUAAUUAUGGAUUAGGUUACACUCGAGAACAGGCAUGUCAUGUGCUGUACAUGUGACCUGGGACACAUAAGAUUGCACACACCAAGUAUCAGUACAAAAUCUAGUACACAUGGAUCCACUUCUGUCUUGGUAAAUUACAUUCUUGCAAUGUAAAAUUUCUCUCUCUCUCUCUCACUCUCUUUUUUUUUUUGUUGAUAUUAUGGAGGAUUUGGCUUUGUUUCCAUCCUUCAUCAUGUCAUCAACCAAAAUUGGAAGGUGGGUUCUCAGAAUAUAUUUUUAUUUUUUAUUUUUAUAAUUUUAAAAAUUAAAGUAAAAGGAAGAAGAAGAAAGAGACUUGGCGAGAGGAAGGUGAGCAUUGGAAAAAAAAUAAAAAAAUCUUUUGAUUCUUUCAAGUUGAUUAGGUGGGGGUCAGAUCUCUUGGAUAUACAUGAUGUACACAUAUGGGGGACUCCCAUUUCAGCCAUUAUAUUUCAGUUGGCCCACUGUGUUUUCUCUUUUUGGCAUGGUAUGUGGGAAAAUUGAGAAAGAAAAUUUUCUUGAUUUUCCUUCAAGUUUUGAAUAUGAUGGGAGAUAAUUAUAAGUCAAAUUUCAUUAUUACGGUUAAAUUAAUUUCAUGUGUGAUUUUUUACAGUUUGAUUUGGUGGGUUGGGAGAAAUUGAUUGGACAAAUUAUAAAAUGAUGAACUCUGAAAUAUCUUUCAAAAUAGUUGAAUAGGAUUAAUAAUAACUUAGGAUUUUAUGUGAUAACCCUCAGAAGAGGUAAUUGAAGAAAAGGGUUGUACCUAGUCAUAAUCAAAGUCUUUAUAAUGGCCAACAACCCUUCUUGAUAAAACCAAGCACACUUUCUUUCUUUCUUUCUUUUUUUCCUUUUUCUUUUAUUUUUAAAAUUCAAUUAUGAAUAGUAGAAAAACAACAAAGGGGUUAAUAAUUAAACCUGAUUUACAUGUUGUAAGUAGUAGAUGAAGAUGUUGAUUAUAGGAAGAGGAAUGAUUUAAAGCUUCUUUUUAUCCAAGUCAAGAUGAUGGGACUAGGAAAAAAUUUCCAAGUAAAAAAAGGGAGGAAUGGUAGGAGAUUGAUAUUGAGUAUUAUUACAUAUAGUAAAUGCCGACAAACAAUCACUUAUUGCAUGUUGUUCCAAGGAGGAUACACUAGUAUCUAUGUGCAAUCUCACCCUCUCCCACUCCCACAACUCCUUUGUACUUUGCCCAAACCCCUUCCUCCUCCCACUUGCAUAUGAUUCCCUUUGUGUAUGUCUCAAUGAAAACCCACUAAUUUCUAUUCAUUAUUGACCCUAAUAUAUAUAUAUAUAUGCAUAUAUAUUUGUGGGAGUAAAUGACUAAGAAAAGUUGGUGCUUAAAUCACUGUCUUUGUAUAAUGUUUUUAAUUUAUCUUUGGAGAAAGAGAGGCAGGCAGGCCUUGUUCCUUGUGGAGGUUCAAAGUUUGAAUAUUAAGCAAAAGUUGAAAUCAAAUCUCUAUCCUAGACUGUUGCUCUCAAUAAAAGUAACUCAUCAAGGAGAGCCCAUUUGGAGAAAAAGUUAAGUAUGGAGAUAAGUAACAAAGCUUGGAAUUCAUAUGCCACAUUCAUGAUGGUGAUUAUUAUUAUUAUUAUACUAUAUGCUAAUCUAAUGAGGUUGAUCGAUGCGCGAUACUGGCACCUUUGUGGAACCCUUAAGUGGGGUUUGGAGUUUCUUGUUUGGAUUAUUGUCCCAAAUGCCUUACAAAGCACGACGCAACACGUAAUUUGGAACGCAUACAUAUAGUUCCACCUGCCUCCCUUGACCCCAUCCCAUGAUCACAUCUUCUUUCGCCUUGUUUGUUAAGUUUAAAUAUUAAUCAAAUGACAUUUCUUGAACUUAGGGAUAAGCCACUUACAUUGGAAUAUAUAUUUGGUCAUGUUUUGGGAAGGACAAAUUGCAGGUAUUCAGGGAUUUUAAUGCCUUGUGGGGACCCAGAGUGUUGAUCAUCAACAAUCUGCCCUCCCAACUAUUCCUAAUAUGUCAUUCUUUAGGUCAUUGCACGCCGUCCAAAUAUUAGAUGACUAAGACUAGAUUAGGAGGUUGGUCUAAGCAAAAUAUCAUUCAACCAGAGAGCCUGCCAAACAGACUGAAACCAAUAUAACAAGUCAUUCCGAGUAAUAAAAUUGGCCAAGCAACCUUCAUAUGUAUGAUGAUUUGGGGCUACAUCAUGGUCAAAGACUAACCAACUCACAGCAUACAAGAGAUGGGCAUUUAAAAAAACUUAGCAUAGAUGAUGAAACAAUGAAAUGGGGUUUUUUGGGAAAGUAGUGCAAGUGAAGAAACCGAGUGAAUCAACCAAACACAAGAAGGUUUAGAAUAGUGAAGGGGCAUGUGGCCCUGAGGUACUUGACAAAGCAUGUAAAAAAGCUUUAGAUGCAAAGUUCAAAACCCAUCAACAAAUGGGCAAAGGGCAUCGCCUCAUUGCCCCAACAGUAAUAGUACACAAUUAUAGAGAGACCAUGAUUCUUGGCUGCACAUACACAUGGAAAGACUUUUCACAAAGAGAACCUACCAAACAGCACACAUAGGAUGAUGCUUCCUCCCCAACUUUCCUAAUAGUUAUUUGUGAAAAAAUUAUACUUUAAUUUUAAUUUAUAAAUAAUGGGCAUGGAAAUCACCAUUGCCUUGCAUGUGAUAUUUCUUACAGCUUUUUAUUUAAUUCAUUGGGCCAACAUAAUUAUAGUUCAUCUUCCUGUCUUCGUGUGGCUUUCCUUAAAUUAAUCUACUUGAUUAGUAUCGAGAAAGAAUACAGAUGGAGAGCAUGUGAGAAUGAAGUCCUAGCUAGAGUGUGAUGGGUUCAUGUCAUUAAUUUUAGUAUUGAUUGUGGCAUGGUUGGAUAGGAGUCAGAAUCAGGGAAAGAGCCCAUAUUCUUUUACCUGCCAAAUGAUCAUACUUGACUUGAAAUUUGGGGUUUCUCUAAUAAUCCAAGUGAAAAUACCCACUUUUAUGGGGUAUUUCUUCCUUAGGCAGCCACUUCUUUCCUGGAAAAUAUUGAGAGUUGUCCUUUACAUUAUCAGAGUCUUCUUUGCCAAUAUGCUCACCCAAUUUUGUUUCUUUUCAAUAGUUUAUUCUCUCUUGUUUUUUUUGGGUGGGUUAAUAAUUGAGUCUGUAAUGAAUCAAGAUCAAUAAGAAAGAAUCAUGAUUAAGAUCAAUAAGGUUGAGAGCACUGGCUAUGAUAAUGGGGUUGAUAAAAAUACAAAAGGGACUUGAAAAGGUGAUGUUGAGAUGAGUAGAGCCAUUGAAAUUGGAAGUAUUGACAGCCUUGUUUCAAGGGAAAAUGGCCUAGAAAGAUAGUUGUCCACCAAGAAAGGUGUUGUGGGUUGGGAAGUAUAUAGGAGAAUAAAGCAAGAAAAGCACUCACCCAUUAACAAACCCACAAAGCUUAAUGUGUUAAAAGGAGCUUUGAGGAAAAAUUCAGAAAGAUUUUCCAUUUCUUUUGGUGGGUUCAAAGCCUAAAGAAAAAAAAAAUUAUAUAUAUAUGAGAAAGAUGGAACUUCUCUGUCAUAAUGGUAUGUGCCUUUAGAAACCAUUUAGGAUUCCUUUUAUGAAGGCACCAGCAAUCCAUCUGCAACUAAAAUGACUUUGAUUCAAAGACAAAUAAUGAAUGGGGAGCUGGUUGGUUGUUGAAAAUUUCCUCAUUUUGUUUUUCAUAUCAGUCCACACAUGAGCCUUAUCUUGGCUGCAUGUGGAGAGGCAUUUUUAGGAUUCAAUGAAAUGAUAUCAUUUCAGCAUCUUAUUAUCCGAUAUGCUGAUGGCCUCCCCUUUUGGUAAAGUUUCAAUUUCAGAAGGUGGUUUCGUGCAUAGAAAAUGCCAUGGAAAAUAAAACAGAAUGAUUCCAUUUCCAUGGUCAUCCAAGCCAGCCCUAUAUUAUGACCCUCAGAAAAAGACAUAGUUUAUGGAGGAGGCUUUCAGUGACAUUAAGGACAUGAUAUCACUUGAAAACCACAUAUUCCAGUUUGGGAUUUCUUCAAGGUUGAGAUUCUUGAGAAUACAAGAUAUCAACUCCAAAUUAUAAUAGAAUACUUUUAUGUGGGCAUGUGAAUGGCCUGCUUGGAAGUCUCAUUCGGGUCAUUGACCCACUUUCUUAGCCCAAAGAGACUGCCCUAGGCAGAUUUUUUUUCUUCUUUAAUUGUAAUUUUGGAUUUUUAGGGUCAUCGCCUUCAGGCUUCAGCUGGCCUUUGAAAGUCAGAUUUGGAAAAGUCAAGUAUAUAGAAACUUUUUUGGGGGGCAGCGGCCAUACAGAUUGACCAAUUAAUGGAACCUGUGCUUGGCCUUCAGACUGAUCCCAAUACUUAUUUGCAACAAUAAUUGAAUCCUCCAAUUUAUGAUUCGGGGAGCGUUUCUAUGCUUCCACCAAAACAAGUCGCUUCCAACUUUUAUAAUAAAUAAGCUCUGAUUCAUCCAACUCCACCCUGAAAGAAGUGGUUGUUUAGCAAACAGCAAAUUCAGCUCAAUUUGUAUUAGAUAAAUGCCAAGGACCCACAAGCAGGUUGAGUAUAGGCCAGCUAUUUGGGACAAAAAUUCAAAAUAGCUGACAUGAUUCCGGCCCAAAAGGAUAUGAGAAAACCAAUUUGAUUUCAAACUGAAAUGGAUGCCAUUAAGGUCAUCCCAUCACAGCCCCUACCUCAAAGAUGACAGCACCCCGUUUUCAUAAAUCUCGAGCAUAAAAUCCAUUGAAGCCAAACAGGGAACUACCCCUCCUUGUCUAUUAAUGCAAUAAAAUAUCGACAACGUCAAAUCCACAAAAAAAAAAUUAGUAAUUGCCAGUAUGAAUUUUCUGUUUCUCUAUUCUUUUUAUAGGUAGCUGGGGAAUGAUACAACACAGAAAUAUAAGCCCACUAUAUCACUGCAUAACACUACAGGUCAGAUAAUUUUCAUCUUCCCUAUAAACUAAUCAAAACUUGACCUAACUACAGCUUGCAAGAUACAAGCACUAAAAUCAUAAAUCUUCAAUCUGCACAGUGGAUGAGAAAUGCACAUCGAUGUUGUUCAGGGAUUCUUGAUCAAUUUCAGUGGUUCCUAAGAAUUUUGGCAGAGUAUAAUUUGAUUCAUGCAUUGGUGCCAAAUCAUCUUUAGCUGUCUGCUCAGUAUAUGUGUCAACUUCUUCAAUCUCUGCUUGGCUGGUCUCUGUAUUAGUAUUAAAUAUCUGAGAUUUCAUUUCCAUGCAAGAAUUUAGAUCCUCCUCAUUUCGGGCUUUGUUCAACUUAUCAAUAAGCUCGCUUAAAGCUGAAAGCCUGUCAGCCCGCCCAGUUUUUGGCCUCUUUGACCCUGCGGGAAGUUCAUUUUGAUCAUUUAGGUCAUUGACAUAAUUAAGCUUCUUUAGUCCCCGAUCGACAAUUUCUAGUAUCCUCUUUCUAGAGUUGUCACUUCUAGUUGGAUUUGAUUUUAGUCUCAACUUGAGCCAUGAAACCAUGACACUUGAAUUGUCUUCUAGAUUAGGGCUAGCAGCAUCUGAUACAGAAAUUCCAUGGUCAGUGGUGCCAUCUGGUGUAGAUUUUACAGAAAAUACCUCCUCCAGUAAACUAAUGUUCUGCAUGUAUCGAUCAAAAGCUUCAUUUUCCACUUCAAUGUUUCUAUUCUUAUACUCCUUCAAUUUGGAAAACCUCCAUUCAUUUAUAGUCGCAGCAUCCUGAAAUAGCUUCCUAGAUUAGUGCAAUUCAUUCUUACAUCAUAAUGUAGUAUGUAACAACCAGAAACAAUAAUACAUUGGCUAGUUAUAUGCACCUUUCUAGUGAGUGGCUUCCUCGACCGAAGUGGCAUUUGCACAUUAUUAAAUUGGGCAAAAUUAUUUGAAAGUUGCCUAAGUGAUGCAACUCUAAGUGAAGUCCUGAAACAGAGCCCAGCAUAUGAAAGGGUCAACCAAAGUUCAAAACCAGAACAAAAUUUAGAACUUGCUUUCAAGACCCAAGGAUAAAAUUUGGCAAGAUCUGUGAUAUUGAGAACUGAAACCCAAGUCAAACAAGUCAAUGGAGGUGAAAAUUAAAAGGAACAGAAAGAAAAUUUAGAAACGAAUGCAUUAAACAAGUCCCCAUGGAAUUAUUGCAAAGUGAAAUAAAUAAGUAAUUGGAUCCAACAGAAACAAGAAGGUGAGAACUUGGAAUUUUAUUUUGAAACCAGUUUUGCUCGUAAAAAAACAUUAAAUCAUUAAAUCCUGUGAAUUUAGAAACUCGAUAUUCAUAUAUUGUCAUGUGUGUAAAUAGACAAAUCUCUACUAGGCCAAUCUCCAAGCAUUAGUCAUUCAGAAGGGGGGAAAAGACUUAAGACACGUGGAGAAUGAAAUUUUUAGGGAAGAACAGUUCCUUUGAUUUCUAUGCCAUAAAAUGUAUUCAGAAAAAUGUGACAGAAGAUUUGAAUUCUAGAUGUACAUCUGGAUAAGAUACUCUUACAACUUACCCUGAGGGAGAUACUUCAGUUGACUGCUGGUCAAACAAAGGGGAGCUUGAAGAUGGCGUCCUGUCCGGAAAAGUUGCAUUUGCUUUCAAAACUGCAAUUAUAAUAUAGAACACUUAAAACAAAUACUAACAAUAAUAAUAAUAAUAAUAGUAACAAUAAUAACAAGAAUAAUAAUAAUAGUUGUAGUAGUAGUAGUAGUAAUAAUAGUGUUAGUAGUAGUAGUAGUAAAAAUAAUAAACAAGGUUGCUUAAUGGCAUUCCUUUAUGAGAUUUAUUUCAUUUCUUUACUUCUUUGUGGACCUCUUGUAAUGAUGAUUUUAAAGGCAUUCCUUUGAACAUCAUUUAGCUUAAUUGGCUAACAGUAUGUAUACCACUAGGGUCGGGCCACCAUUGAGAGGAGCCUAGUUAUUUUUUCAAGAGAGGUUUCCCUUGUACAUUCUUUUGUAAUCUAUCUUUUUGUACAAAUCUCCUUGUAUAUUGGAGGUUUUUAAUGGUUUAGAUCAGGUUUGUAUAUUUGUGGGAAGGAUUCCUCAUCCCUCUCACAAAAUCUUUAUACUUAAUUAAUACACUUCUUUUUUCUGAUAAAAACAAAAAAAAACAAAUUAACAGGAAAUAUAAUAGGCAAAAGACAAAAUAAAAUCUCUAUAUGGACUUACAGUUUAUACCUAUCCAGAUGCUGAGUUUGGACCUAUCUAAUGCUAACUGGCUAAUAGGAUAUUUACUGAGUUCCUGAAUUAUGAAAUUGAAAGAGAAACCCUUCAUGGAUUCAAAUACACUGCUUCUCAAGUUUUUACUUUGUAUUAGGAGAGCCUACCAAUUGAGUUUUAGGUCUUAAUGGCUCCAGUUAUAUCUCUUAUAUAUCAUAUUGCAAGUCAUGAUAACCACAAACUUCCAGCUGCAGUUAACAUAUAACCUCUGAAUUCUCAGAUAAAUAAAUGAGAAUAAACAAUACAAAAGUUAAAAAUAAAUAAAUAAUAUGAACGGGAAAAUUAUUAUAGAAUGAACUAGCCAAAGUUAGAACCCUUAUCUUUUCUUCAAUGGAAUCCUUAAACUUCCAUCAUUGAGGAAGAGAAUAGUACAAUGGGAGAACAAUUCCCAAAAGAAAAAGGAUAUAGUGACUGUAGACAAUCUAUCAUGACUUCAAAUAAUAAUUGUUUUGGAUCAUAUGCAUACUAGCAGACCUGUUGGAAAUUGACCAGAGGUGGGAACUUCAACUCCACUUUUUGAAUGCAACUAGACACUUCUUAAGCCCAGAAUUUUUCCAUUCAAACUUGGAUAUAAAGAAUAACCUAAGAGUUUAUAACUGCUUCAAUCCUUUUUUCAUUUUUUUGAUAGGCAAUAAAAGAUGUAUAUAUUCAGCAAAAGAAAGAGUACACUAGAGUACACAGGACGUAUACAACAGGCACAAAAAGACAAAGCCACAUAACAGAGAACAUAAAGCAGUUUAUAACAGCUUUGUUUGUCAAAAAUAAUUUUGGUCAUUUUAAUACCUGAAGAAUUUCUAAAUUCCUUUUAUUGAUUUUUUAGGUAUACACCAUACACAUAUAUAUACACAAAUGACUGAAUAAGAAAAUAUCAAUCUAGCUUCAUUCUCUCCUAAAAUUAGGAAACUGAAUCAUCCUAAAUGAUCUCUCAUUUUUUAUUCCUAAAACACUUUCCUAAAUUAAAAAACCUAACUUUGAAUGCCAAAUUUCAACACUCCCCCUCAAGUUGGAGAAUAUAUAUCAUAUAAUCCUAGCUUGCAAGUUAAGUCUUCGAAGUUAGGCCUAGGUAAAGCUUUGGUGAGGAUGUCUACGGUUUGGUGCUUGGUAGGAACAUAGUUCAAUUUAACCGUCUCACUAGUCACCUUCUCUGUGAUGAAGUGUCUGUCAAUCUCAACAUGCUUGGUCCUGUCAUGAUGCACGGGGUUCUUUGCUAUGCUUAUAGCUGCCUGAUUAUCACACAUCAUCAGAAUUGGAGAUGAACUCGUUUGUCCCAGUUCACUAAGAACCCUUUUUAUCCAAAUCCCUUCACACAUUCCCUGUGCAAGAGCUCUGUACUCAGCUUCUGUACUACUUCUGGCUACAACUGAUUGCUUCUUACUCCUCCAGGUAACAAGAUUUCCCCAGACAAAAGAACAAUAUCCAGAAGUGGACCGCCUGUCAAUGAUGUUUCCUGCCCAAUCCGCAUCUGAGUAUACUUCAGUGUCACGGUUUUCUGUCUUUCUAAAGAAUAGACCUUUCCCUGGUGUCAUUUUUAAAUAUCUAAGAAUCCUGUAGACUGCUUCCAUGUGUUCCUCAGUGGGGCUGUGCAUGAAUUGACUUACAGCACUCACUGCAAAGCCAAUACCUGGCCGAGUGUGUGAGAGAUAAAUCAAGCGCCCGACAAGCCGCUGAUAUCUCCCCCUGUCUACCGGUGUACUUUCUUUCUCGAUACCAAGUUUCUUCUGACUAUCCAUAGGAGUAUCAAUUGGUUUGCAUCCAAGCAUACCGGUCUCCUUAAGAAGAUCGAGUAUGUAUUUUCUUUGAGAGACUACAAUUCCCGUCCUUGAUCUAGCCACUUCCAUACCAAGGAAAUAUUUCAAAUUUCCAAGGUCUUUAACUUCAAACUCUUCUGACAAAUACUUCUUCAACUUCUGUAAUUCCUCCAUAUCAUUCCCAGAUAGAAUAAUAUCAUCGACAUAGACUAUCAGUAUGGCCAUUUUCCCGGCAUGAGAUUUCUUGACAAAUAGAGUAUGAUCAGCCUGACUUUGUUUGUAGCCCACCUUCAGGACUGCUUUUCUGAAUCUAUCAAACCAGGCUCGGGGAGAUUGUUUAAGGCCGUACAAGGAUUUUUAGAGUUUGCAAACCUGAUUCUUUGCCAUACUUUCUUCGAAACCAGGUGGUAUUUCCAUGUAGACUUCCUCUUCUAGGUCACCAUUUAGAAACACAUUUUUUAUGUCCAGUUGUUGCAAGCACCAAUCUUGAUUGACAGCCAAUGAGAGAAGAAUCCUGAUAGUGUUCAGUUUUGCAACAGGAGCAAAAGUCUCCUGAUAGUCUAUCCUAUAGGAUUGUGUAAACCCUCUAGCUACCAAACGAGCCUUGAAUCUCUCGACUGAUCCAUCUGCUUUGUAUUUUAUGGUGAAAAUCCACUUGCACCCCACGGGCCUCUUCCCAACCGGCAAAUUUGUGAUAGUCCACGUCUCAUUCUUCUCAAGUGCAUCAAUCUCAUCUUGUACUGCCUUCUUCCAUUCUGAAAUUUUGAAUGUCUCUUGUAUUGUGUUGGGAACCUGAGUAUCAUCAAGAGAAGUAGCAAAUGCUCUGUAAGAUGGUGAUAGCCCUUCAUACGUAACAUAAUUCCCAAUUGGAUGAUUUGUACAUCUCCUAACACCCUUCCUCAAUGCAAUCGGCAGAGUAGAAUCAUCAAUGCUGGGAAUUAACACCUCUCCAGCCCUAUCCUCACCUAUGUUCUCUUCAGGAAGACUUGACUUGGAGUCAAUAUAUUAGCCACAUGUUGACUGUGAUCCGUGCUCUAAUUCCUGUCUUUUCCUCCUCCUGAUGUAAACUUGUAAGUUCUCAUUAGCAAGUUGUGGGGCUAUAGGUUGAAUAGGCAUGGGAGACUGGAUGGUCACGGGAGAAGGAACAUUUGUGUGCUGGGCUGGCUGGACUGAUGACGGCAUGGGUAUGGACAACUCAGUGGGCGCGAAUUGGGAAGGAUUUGGUGACUCUGAGUGAAAAAAAGGUACACCCUCAAGAAGAGACUCCCAAACUUGAUGUUCAUUCAUGCUCUCCCCCUAAACAUGAGAUUUGGGAUAGAAGAAGACAUGUUCAAAGAAAGAGACGUCCAUGGUGGUGUAAAAUCUUUUGUUGGUUGGAGAAUAGCAUUUGUACCCUUUUUGGGUUGGAGAAUACCCUAGGAAAAUGCACUUAUUGGCUCGAGGAUCAAAUUUGCUACGAUUUUGAGGAUACACAUGACCGAAUGUCGUGCAACCAAAUACUUUGAGUGGUAAAUCAGAAGAGGCUGCACGGGUGUGAGGAAAUUGUUUUAAGAAAAGUUGACGUGGGGAUUGAAAGGUAAGCACUCUGGAUGGCAUACGGUUAAUCAAAUAGGUAGCUGUGAGAAUAGCUUCCCCCCAGAAAUAGUUUGGAACAUUAGAGGAAAACAUAAGGCAUCGGGCAACCUCCAAGAGAUGUCUAUUCUUGCGUUCAGCCACCCCAUUUUGUUGUGGGGUGUCAACGCAAGAACUUAUGUGGAUAAUGCCGUGAUUUUGAAGAUAAGUACUAAGACUACUAGUAAAGUAUUCCUUUGCAUUAUCUGACUUGAGGACUUGAAUUUUGGAAUUGAAUUGAUUUUGAACCAUAAGAUUGAAGGUUUGAAAAAUGUGCCUGACCUCUGACUUUUCUUUCAUAAGGAAAACCCAUGUUACCCGUGUAUGAUUAUCAACGAAUGUCACAAACCAUCGAGUGCCAGAAAUAUUUUUUAUCCGAGAGGGACCUCACACAUCACUAUGUACUAGAGAAAAAACAGUCGAAGGUUUGUAUGGGAUUUGAGGAUAUACUGUUCGAGUAUGCUUUGCAAACUGACAAAUUUCACAGUGAUAAGAUGCUGGAUUUUUAUUGAUAAAUAAUUUGGGAAACAAUUUUGCAAGGUAAACAAAGCUAGGAUGACCAAGGCAAUAGUGUAACAUUAUAAUCUCACUAUCUUUAUUGACCUUAGAAUUUGACACAGAAUUGAAAGACUCUAUCAUACUCUGAGACUGUACGCAACUUGCUUGAGAGACUUUGUUUGAGAAUUGGCCACAUGAGAGGAGGUAGAGCCCGGAACACAGUUCAACACUGCCAAUCAUCUUCCCCGAUUUCAAGUCCUGAAAAACACACGAGUUUGGAUAGAAUUUAGUAACACAUUGGAGAUCACGGGCCAAUUUGCUAAUGGACAAAAGAUUACAAUCCAAGUUUGGAACAUGGAGGACAGAGUCAAGAUAUAAGUCUUUAGUAAGUUUUAUAGAACCUGUCCCGACAAUUUUUGACUUUGAACCAUCAGCAAUAUGGACGGAUGAAUGACCAUUACUUGGCUUGUAAUUUUGAAGAAUGGCAGCAUCUCCUAUCAUGUGAUUAGAAGCACUUGUGUCCACUAUCCACGGCUUCAUUCCUCCUCGAUUAGCAGUGAGGGCUAUCCCGGUAGUACUGCCACUGCCAACUUGGCUUAAUAGUUUCUGUAGCAUCUCCAUCUGCUCUUUGUUGAAUGGACUCAGCUCGGGAACAGAUGUGCUCUCAGAGUUGGCAACCACGUGUGCUCUGCCAUCUCUGUCAGACCGUGGCUUUGGUUUCCAAUCAGCCGGUUUGCCAUGAAGCUUCUAGCAAGCCUCCUUAUAAUGGCCUGGUUUCUUACAAUAAUCACACUAAGGCCUAUCCCGUUUCUGACGAUCUCCACCACUACUAUUAAAUGACCGAGUAGUAAGGGCAGAGGCAUCCAAUGUUGGGGCAGGUUGCUCUUUGGAUCCCAUCAUCACUUUCUUUCUACUUUCUUCACGCCUAACCUCUGAAAAAGCCUCCCUGAGAGUUGGAAGGGGUUUAAUGCCCAUGAUUCGGCCUCUAACAUCAUCCAAUUCCCUGUUUAGUCCUAGGAAAAACUUGAACAGUCUCUUUUGUUCCACAAUUUUCCUGUAUGUUGCUGCAUCAUCCGAACAUUUCCAUGAGUGAGUCUCGAAUAAGUCAAGUUGCUGCCAAUACCUUGUGAGUGUGUUGUAAUACUGAGGAACUGACUGCUCUCCUUGGCGGAAGUCAUAUAAGGCUGAUUCAACCUAAAAAAGUUCUGAAGUAUUUUCAGAACUUGAGUAAGUUUCUUUGGCUGCAUCCCAGAUGUCCUUUGCAGUCCUAAACAACAAAAAAUUUUCACCUAUGUCAUUGUUCAUGGAAUUGAUAAGCCAUGACAUGAUCAUGCUGUUUUCAAUCUUCCACUUCCUGAAACCUGGUUCUGUAGUUUCUGGCAUGGCUGCUUCUCCAGUGAGGUACUCAUCCUUUCCUUUACCGCAAAUGAACAGCAACACAGAUUGUGACCACUGCAAAUAGUUAUGGCCAUUUAAUUUGUGUCCUGUGAUGAGAAUAGGAGAGGAAUCACUGCCACCAAGGUUUGGAAUUUCAGAUCUGCCCCCUGAUUCUGGUGACGUGACGCUGGAUACUUGUGAUGAUGCCAUUCCGUAUUUUGUCAUGGACCGGAAAGGUAGAAGAACACUUCCCAAGGCACGUGCAGGGAUUGGAGUUGAGAAAAAAUAGCCGGAGGACGCCGGAAAAACUGAUCAGAGGGCCCGCGGAGGCAAAAGAACCCCAAAAGUGGCACGUGCAGGGCUCGGAUGGCAGAAACAGGUAAGAAGGGUGGCUGGUCGGCGUCAGGCGAGCCUGGAGGAGGAAGCGCGUCGCCGGAAAGUGGCUCACGCGCCGGUGCGUGAGAUGCAGUCGCCGGUCGGAAAACGCGCGUGGCCGGCGCGUGGAUGGUUUUCUGGCUCCGGUGCUUUGGGAAAAACUGGAGAUCUCCUCCAGGCAGUCCUUGCGGUGUAGAAAAAACCAUCGCUGGAAAAGUUUGCCGGAAAGUUCGCCGGAAAAGUUGCCGGCGGUGAAUGUUUUCUGACGACGAUUCGACCGACCGGAAAACGUUUUCUCCCUUGGCUCUGAGAACAGGGACUGAUGACCGGAAUGAGAGAUGGCCAGAGAGAGAGAUGGUCGGAUUGAGAAAUUUGGCCGGAAUGAAUGAUGGCCUGAAUAAGAGGUGGCCAGAAGGGAUUAGGGUUUCAGAAAACUGGCUCUGAUACCAUGAAGAAUUUCUGAAUUCCUUUUAUUGAUUUUUUAGGUACACACCAUACACAUAUAUAUAUACACAAAUGACUGAAUAAGAAAAUAUCAAUCUAGCUUGAUUCUCUCCUAAAAUUAGGAAACUGAAUCAUCCUAAAUGAUCUCUCCUUUUUUAUUCCUAAAACACUUUCCUAAAUUAAAAAACCUAACUUUGAAUGCCAAAUUUCAACAAUACCAGCAUCCUCCCAAUCUGAUAUUACUGACAAAUAAAUACUAAUUUUGUGCUCCACUCUAGUGACUAUCCAUUCUUACUCACUAAAUUUGCUUCAUCAAUGUGCUCCACCCAUUUAUCAAGCGACUGAACAUUCUUUCUUGUCUUAAUAACAGAGGGAGCACCAAUAGACUCCACAAACAUUUGAACAAUUCACCAAACAAUUUAUUAAAAUUCUCCUUUUUGUCAAUCCAUUCAUUUGCGACAAAUGAACAUCUUUUAUACACAUGCAUGCAUGCAUACAUACAUAUAUAUAAAGAGGAAAAAGUAGAAGCACAUUAGAAAAGGCAACCAUCAAAACAGGAGCACAAACAUGCGCACAUAGAUAUAGGAAAAAAUAGAGCGCAUUGGAAAAGGAAACCAUGAAAAUAGGAGCACAAACAUGUGCACACAACGUAUAUUAUCGGUGCCUAGAGAAAAAGGGAAAAACAAAACAUCCAGCCCUAGCAGCAAGACUCAUAGCUCAAAAAUCUAUUCAUAAUGGAUGAGAAUAGGAUUUAUGGACUCAAAAUCAUGUUUAUAGAGACAACACCUAUUGACCAGCUUCCAUCCCUUUCUCAUGAGAUUAUCCAUGGUAAGAAUUUUCUCGAUGUUGCCUCCCAAACAAAGAAACCAACUUUUGAAGGUGUCUUAAGAUUCCAAAUUAGCUUAGAUGGAAUGGUGAAUGCAUCUCCCAAAUUCAAAGAAUCAUAAUAUGAUCUAAUUGAACACCUAUUUAUUCUCUAUUCCACUGGACAAUCCUUCAUCGAUUUCUCACUACAGAGUCACAUUUCUUUUAAGUAACCGUAGCCUCAUGGUAAGUUGUUGCUUUCAUACCAUACCAUACUUGAAAAUAGACUCAAGAUUACAUGAAAACAUAGAUAAUACACUUUUUUUGUGUGAGCCACAUUUUCUUUUAAGUAACCCUAGCAUUCCCAUCUUUCCAGUUUUGCACAACUUCCAUGGAAUUGAGAACGAAAUACGAAUCUGUAAUGCCUUCUUGCCUCCUUGGCCACCACCAAUUGGAGCACUCCCACACAAAUCCCUUACCAUAAAUCUCCUCAUGUUCUUCAUCUUCUUCAACUUCAAACUCAUCUUCAUUCUUUUCUUUUUCUUUUACCUUUUUUUUUUUUUUUUUCUAUUUGGAAUACAUGUGUUUAUUCAGUUCUUCUCCAACAUGUUGUGGACAUUUCAACACUUUUUGGCUUUUCGAAAUCUAUCAACAAGAUCUUUGAUGUAGGACGACCCUAGGAUGGUUGCCUACAAUCAAAUAGUAGGCUAGGGUUUUUACUUUUAGGGUUUAAGGAGAGGAACAAGGUAUAAAUUUAUGAUAGAGAAAAAUGAAAUAAAAAAUGUAGAGAAAGAAGAUACAAAGAAGAAGAGAUAGAACCUUAGAGUCCCACUAAGGCCUUCUAGGACUCUCACCUAGAAGAAAACCAAUGGAGUCUCACCAUUGGGAAUUGCGACAAUCGGAAAAAAAAAAAAAAAAAAACAAAACUUAAUAUUAUUAGUCAUCAAUCAAUUCAUAUUUUGGUUUACAUCAAUUAUCCUUAUUUAUAAGUUUCUCUAAGAAAUCUAAAAUCUACUAGGAUUCUAGUAACAUAUUAUGAAUCUAAUUCUAAUUCUCCUAUAGCUUAAUUAGUUAUUCCAAAUUUAACUCCCACAAAUAUUAAUCCUAAUUUAAUUUUAAGUAAUAUUAAUCCUACUUUAAUUGCAACUAAUACUAAUUCUAUUUCUUGAUGUAUAUCUUAGAGAUUCAUCCUCAUCGAUUCCCUCCGACUUGAAAAAAAAAACCUCGACCUGGAGUUUUAGUGAUUUUCCACCGUUAAUUGAAAUCUCGAGCAAUGCCUUCCACCCAUCUUUCUUUGUCAACUCUUUACCACAAUAAGACAAGAUCUCAAGAUCACUUGAACUUGUUUAAUUUCAUGCAAGACAAAUAUCAAACUUUGAAAAACUUUCUUAUAUUUUUUUUUUUUGAUUGGCAAACACACAAAUAUCAAACUUUCUUAUAUAUUUUUUUUUUUUGAUAAGUAAGCAGAUAUUAUAUUAAAAAGGCAAAAAGCCACACAGCAUAUAGGACGUAUACAAGGCAGCCCAACCCAAAAACCAGAAGAAGCCCACAACCAUACCUACCCUCAAGUGGACGCGAGCCAGUCUAGAAAACCUAAGAGUGAAGAGGACUCCUCUCCAAUAUACACCCUAGCCCAACUCCACAGAUUACAUACAAAAGAAUUUUUGAGUUUCUGUAUAGAUAAAAAUCACCCCCUAAAAGCUAAUCUAUUCAUUUCCUUCCAAACCGUCCAAAAAAUACACAACGGGAUGGAAGUCCAAAUCUUUUUCCUUUUUUUCCCCACAAAAGAACCCCUCCAACUGAAAAGCAUGUCUUUAAUCGUUUCUGGAAACACCCAUUGAAUGCCAAACAAGGCUAGGACAAUCUCCCAAAGAACCCGGACCACUGUACAAUGUAGAAGAAUGUGAUUUACAGUUUCUUCUUCACACCCACACAAAAAACAUCGGUUAGGGAACUGCCACCCCCUUUUUUGAAGCCUAUCCAAGGUUAGGACCUUUCCCCACGUGGCCUCCCAAGCAAAAAACACAACUUUAGUUGGGACCUUGUCCACCCAAAUGCCCUUAUUCGGAAAUACAAUAUCAUUUGAAGCAACCAGCAGAUUGUAAGCCUCCUUAACCCUAAAGAUGCCACAUCCCCCACCUUUCCAGAGAACCGAAUCCUCCUCUAAAGAAAUUUUGUAGUCCCUUAGCAUAUACAGCAAAUUACCUACCAAAUCCACCUCCCAAUCAUUAAAGCCUCUAGAGAAACUGAUGUUCCAACUUCCUUGGCCAAAGCUAGGGUCCCAUACUUCGUUAACCGUUGCAUUCCUAUGAGCUGCCAAUUCGAAUAAAAGGGGGAAAGUUUGGGACAGCGCUGCAUUGCCGCACCAAUGGUCAGUCCAGAACCUAACUUUGGUCCCUUUACCCACCUUGAACUCUAUAUUAUCCCAACACCAAUCAGCUUCCUUCAGAAUCUCCUUCCAAACUCCCACUCCAAACGUCCCACGAGCCUCAUUAGUCCUCCAACCAAGGCCCUCUUGACCAAACUUCUCCAUAAUCACCUUCUUCCAAAGCUUAUCUUCUUCAAAGGCAAACCUCCAUAACCAUUUUCCCAGCAAAACCUUAUUCAAAAGGGCAAUCCUCCUAAUGCCAAGACCCCCCUUCUCCUUUUGAGCACACACCACCUCCCAAUUAAUUAAGUGAACUUUCCUUUCCAAGCUUCCCCCUCCCCAAAGAAAGUCUCUUUGGAGCUUUUCGAGCCUUCUUGCCACCAUCUUGGGCAUUUGAAAUAGGGACAAUUGGUAGAUCGGCAUGCUGGCCAGCGUGCUCUUAAUGAGGGUAACCCUCCCGCCUUUGGAAAUAUAUUGUCUUUUCCACAAGGCUAAUCUUCUCCUCAUUUUCUCCUCCACCCCAUCCCACAUCGAGGAAGCCUUGUGAGGAGCCCCUAAUGGCAGCCCCAAAUACACAUUGGGCAAAGACCCCACCCUACAACCUAGCUCCACGGCCAUCUCCUCAAUCUCUUCCACUUCGCCAACUGGAAUUAACUCACUUUUGGCUAGAUUUAUCCUUAACCCAGACGCAGCCUCGAACCAAGCAAGAAUCCAGCUUAGAAAAGUCAUGUUUUCUUUCCUUGCUUCACAAAAAAUAAUUGUGUCAUCCGCAAAAAGCAAAUGAGAGAUAUUUAGCUCCAUCCUGCCCCUCCCCCAAAACCUGCAGCCUGAAAAGAAACCCCCGACAGCAGCCCUUCUUAAAAGUGCACUAAGCACUUCCAUACCCAAGACAAAAAGAUAAGGAGAAAGGGGGUCUCCCUGACGCAACCCCUUGGUGCUUGAGAAGAAGCCUGCCGGCACUCCAUUAACAAGAACAGAGAAUUUGGCAGUUGAAAUACACCACCAAAUCCACUCCAUCCACCUAGCCCCAAAGCCCAAUUUACGCAGAAUCUUCAUAAGAAAAUCCCAACUUAUGCUGUCAUAGGCUUUUUCAAUGUCCAGUUUACAAAUCAACCCUUUCUCCUUACGUUUUUGCCAAGUAUCAAUCACCUCGUUAGCUAUAAGCGAAGCAUCCAAUAUUUGUCUCCCCUUCACAAACGCAUUUUGGUCCAAAGAAACCACCCUUCCUAGGACCUUCUUCAGCCUAUUUGCCAACACCUUAGCCAAAAGCUUGUACAAACCCCCUAACAGGCUGAUCGGCCGAAAGUCACUCCAUCAAACUUUCUUAUAUUAUCAACUUGUUUUACAAUAUAAGAAAGUUGAAAAACUUUCUUAUAUUGCAAAACAAGUUGAUAAUUCUCGAAAUAAUCACGUGUCAUCAACAAGCUUGUGGAGAGUUGCAUUCCAUACUCUUCUUUCAAACUGUCUUGUAGAAGAAUAAGAUUCUUGAAUUCCUUAUAUUCAAAAGAAAUUUCAGCAAUUCUUACUAUAUCAUAAGAUUGUUCAUGUUUGCCACCAAUCAUGAUAAUGUUUUGCCUUGAAAAGGCAAGCACCAGUUCUUUUGAAGCUUUUACGACUUCUUUAAGCUCUCCUAUAGGUUAAAUGAUUGGUUCCAUCAUUUCUUGCAUUCUAGAUUCAUAAUUGACGAUUUCUUCCUCUUUACUAGUAACUUCGAAUCUCUUCUUAAUGGAAGUAUUUGAUGGCUCUUCUAGUUUCAAGGAUACUAUUUUUCCUCUAGUUGCUUACGUGGUGGAAUUUCCUUCAUUAGACGAAGGAUUUUCUUACACCCAUUGUGCAGAAGUGUGUAACCGUUCUUAUAUCCAUCAUGUUGGAUGUUUUCAUAAAAAAUCCACGGCUUCCAAGCAUAAUAUGGGCAACUUUCUUUGGUGAGACAUCACAUCAUACUGAUAACUCAAAAUUAUUACUAAAAUUAAAUGUCAUUAGGCAAUGAGAACUCACCAAAAUAGAUAUAUCAUUUACCAAUGCUAUUUAAUAGGGAUAUGGAUGCUCUUUUGUCUUUAGAUUAAGCUUCUCAAUAAGUUCCUCUGAAGCUAAGUUAGAACUACUACCUCCAUCAAUAAUCAUAGUACAUAGUCUUCCUUGGCAAGCAACACGAGUUCAAAAGAUGCUAUUACGUCGCUAAUCCUCCUUUUCAUUUAGUCUUGGUAUGUUCACAGACAGUUGCAUAAGAAAAGUUGUAACCUUCAAUCAUGAUUGCAUAUGUUGCUCUACUCCUCAUUACAUAUGCCUUCAAACGAAGAAUUUCUGCUUUGAUACCAAAACUGAUGUAGAACAACCCUCGGAUGGUUGUCUACAAUCAAAUGGGCGGGCUAGGGUUUUUACUUUUAGGGUUUAAAGAGAGGAAUAAGGGAUAAAGUUUAUGGUAAAGAAAAAUAAAAUAAAAAAUAUAAAGAAAGAAGAUAUGAAGAAGAAGAGAUAGAAACCUUAGAAUCUCACUAAGACCUUCUAAGAGUCUCACUUAAAGGAAAAUCAAUGGAGUCUUAACAUUGAGGAUUGCAACUCUUGGAAAAAAAAAAACUUAAUAUUAUUAAUCAUCAAUCAAUUCAUAUUUUGGUUUCCAUCAAUUAACCUUAUUCAUAUGUUUCUCUAUGAAAUCCAAAGUUUACUAGUAUUCUAAUAAACUAUUAUGACUCUAAUUGUAAUUCUCCUAUAACCUAAUUAGCUACUCUAAAUUUAACUCCAACAAAUACUAAUCUAGUUUAAUUCCAAGUAAUAUUAAUUCUACUUUAAUUGCAAUUAAUACUUCUUUUUUUUUGAUAGGCUUAAUUGCAAUUAAUACUAAUUCUCUUUCUUUAUGUAUAUCUUAGAGAUUCAUCUUCAUAAAUCUCAUAUAUGCACAAAUAGUCAUAUUUCUAGACCAUAUAUAUAUAUACAUAUGUUUAGGCCAGCAUAUCAGCCAGAUGUCUCCCUGACUCCCAAAUCCUUACUUCAACCUUCAAUUUCCAUCUUACUGUUAAAUAAAAUUUAUAUGUCUAGAUUUCAUUAUUUGGGUUGAUCAUGUUUGGCCUUAGUAAAUUUUUCUUUCUUUGUGCCUAUAGGUGUACUUUUACAUAUCCUAUGUACUGGCUGUGCCCUAUUUUCACUAGGUGCUUUUCUAUAAUUCAGAAAAAGGAAAUUAUCAAUAUACCAAAAAAAAUUGCCCAAAAAAACAUAGUGUAAUAUUUUCAAUAUUUCAGCCCAUGGCACUUCAGAAAUUUGAACAUAAGGUCACAUCUAUCUUUUCUUUCUCUACAAAAAAAACUUCAGUAUAUGAUUAGAACUUCCAAGGAUAAUAAUAAAUAAGCCAAACAAAAGUUCCAUUUCACUAAUUAGGCCCUUAGGGCCAUAGGAAACUCAUAAUCAGAGGAAACAGAUAAUGCUUGUAUCUUCAGGAAAUUAAUCAAGCAAACAACAAUAAAGUCAAAAAUCACCAAACAGUAAUAAACUCAAAAUAACAAAAUUAAUUAAAAUAAAUCACUAGAAACUAAUGAACGAAUACCCAACAGUGCAGUCACAUGUUCAAGUUGAAAGUCACCUUCCUUCUUCUAAAGCCCUCAAAUGCUUUGAAGCAAGGAGAUUGAGUGUUUGUGGUUUCAGUUGAGGAUUUUAGGAGAAGACAAAAGACUGCUGUUGCCUGUCAUUUUUAUAUUUUUCUCUCUUUUCCAGAAAAAAAAGGGGCCAAAAUGACAUCAUCUAGUAUGAGUUAUGGGAAAAAAACCUAGACAGGGUGAACAUAUUUGUUUUAAUCGAGAUGCAUGCCUUCACGUAAGGUAGCUCCUAGUUAAAGGCACUUCAUUGAAAGGCUAGAUGAGAGACCACAAUUAGGUCUGC
rnacentral:lncRNA from 1 species